rnacentral:rRNA from 1 species
CCAGACUCCUACGGGAGGCAGCAGUGGGGAAUAUUGCACAAUGGGGGGAACCCUGAUGCAGCGACGCCGCGUGGGUGAAGGAGUAUUUCGGUAUGUAAAGCCCUAUCAGCAGGGAAGAACAAUGACGGUACCUGACUAAGAAGCACCGGCUAAAUACGUGCCAGCAGCCGCGGUAAUACGUAUGGGGCAAGCGUUAUCCGGAUUUACUGGGCGUAAAGGGGGCGCAGACGGCGAUGCAAGCCAGGAGUGAAAGCCCGGGGCCCAACCCCGGGACUGCUCUUGGAACUGCGUGGCUGGAGUGCAGGAGGGGCAGGCGGAAUUCCUGGUGUAGCGGUGAAAUGCGUAGAUAUCAGGAGGAACACCGGUGGCGAAGGCGGCCUGCUGGACUGCAACUGACGUUGAGGCCCGAAAGCGUGGGGAGCAAACAGGAUUAGAUACCCGGGUAC